rnacentral:rRNA from 1 species
UAGUCCACGCCGUAAACGAUGAUUACUCGCUGUAGGCGAUACACAGUCUGUGGCUAAGCGAAAGUUUUAAGUAAUCCACCUGGGGAGUACGAUCGCAAGAUUGAAACUCAAAGGAAUUGACGGGGGCCCGCACAAGCGGAGGAACAUGUGGUUUAAUUCGAUGAUACGCGAGGAACCUUACCUGGACUUAAAUGUAGAUUGCAUAGCUUAGAGAUAGGCUUUUCUUCGGACUAUUUACAAGGUGCUGCAUGGUUGUCGUCAGCUCGUGCCGUGAGGUGUCGGGUUAAGUCCCAUAACGAGCGCAACCCCUAUCCUUAGUUGCCAGCGGGUCAUGCCGGGGACUCUGAGGAGACUGCCGGCGUAAGCCGCGAGGAAGGUGGGGACGACGUCAAAUCAUCAUGGCCUUUAUGCCUAGGGCUACACACUGCUACAAUGGUGCAUACAGCGGGUAGCGAAAUCGCGAGGUGGAGCUAAUCUUGUAAAGUGCAUCCCAGUUCGGAUUGG